rnacentral:lncRNA from 1 species
GCGGAAGUUGCAGUGAGCCGAGAUUGCGCUACUGCAUUCCAGCCCGAGUGACAGAGCGAGACUCCAUCUUAACAACAACAACAAGACAAACGCACAAGAUUUGGGGACUCAGCCAGGCCGGGGUUUGGUUCUUGGUUCUGUCACUUGCUAGCUCAGUGGCUUUUGGCAAGUCAGUUUAUCUGCAGCUUCGUUGCUACCUCUACAUUAUGGAGAUGAAAGUGUCCACCUCCAAGUGUGGUUUUGAAGAUUCAAUGAGAUAAUGUGAAUAAAGUGUGUAGCGAAGUGUUUGGCACAAAGCUAAUAUUGAGUCAUUUAUUAUUACCACGGACAUUAAUAAUCAGAGGAAAAUAAGUUUUAAAGGUAAAACUUCUUUUGCGAGAAACCCUCAUGGACACAGGCAGCGGAGUGGCGAAGCGAUCCCUGAGGUCAGGUUCUGAGUUCAGAACCAGGGCAAAGCACAGAGCAAGCGGCACUCAAGUCUUCCCAGUGAAGAUGCUUUUGGUUGCAAGGAGCAGAAACUCUCUCACUGAGCUGGAGUCCUGAAUUCGUUAUGAUAUCAGGUGUCAGGGAAACCAGGCCAAGAGAUGCCACCAGCUUUCAUGAAGCACCAGUACAGAAAUAUGGACGCCAAUACCAUGACCCUCUCUUCCCAUCUCUUCCCUCUCCUUUCCUUCUACACCUGCUCUGUGCCCCAGGACCACAGUUGGUGACAGAUUCCCAGGAUGCUGGCUAGGAUCGGACCCAGGCGGCACUUCUGGAUUCCUAGUUUUUGCUGGAGAGGGGUCGACUGCCAGAUUAACAGGCUGUCUGGCAAAUGGCGGCCUUCGGCAGCACUUAGGUCCGAAAACACAAAGGUUGGCCUAAGAAAACCAUAAUUAACUACACACACACACACACACACACACACACACACACACACACACACACUCACUAGAAAUAAAAGACUAGUGUCUCUUUUAAUUGUCAUUUUUAUAGCUCCCCACCGCAGCUGCCCCCCACCCUUC